rnacentral:lncRNA from 1 species
CAAAAGUCUCCCUCUUCGGGGCAAGUUGUGUUCUUAUUGGCAUUCUAGGCCUGCAUUUCUCCUGCAGAUAACAGGUUGUUUGCUGAGGAAUGUAACAUUCUAUUGACUUAAGUCAGCAAGGACUGCAUGCAGUUAAUUUGCUUUCUAAAAGAUAGCUUGUGGGGAUUGAGAGAGUGUGAAGUGGGGAUAACAUACAACAUAGGAACUGCAUGGACCUCAUCAAUGGUGUGGUGCUCACGGAGUUGGAGUUUUUAAGGAAAUUGGGUCCCCCUGGUUUUGCCUCUACUACUUGCCUCCUGAAUCACUUUGUUAUGCUUUGAGUAGCUCUCAAUGAGCUUUCUUUUUGAGGGUCUUGAUGUUUUGAUUUUCAGUUGCCCUUCACUGUCCUUUCCCUGUUCACCCAUUCAUGGCUAACUAGUUACCUAACAAUAUGACCAAUAGCUGAUGAAGUGACCUCUGUGGAGAAGGUGCAGAAGAACUAGACAUAUUUAACCAAAAUGUAGCCAUCUGUAAGGGAGCUGAUCAUUUCUUUCCAUGCCUUAUUUGGUCACAGAGUUCUUUUCAUUCAUUUUCAUAACUCUACAUAGGUGGUCUUGAGGUGAACUUGGGUAUGGUGCUAUGCUGAAAGGAGCCCAGGACAAGGAGAAUGGAGCCUUGGGUUCUAAUCCAAACCAUUAGAUGGUUUUGUGGCAAAUGCCACAUCUGCCCUUAUGCAUUGAUUUCUUUGGGAAAUUGUACUUUCUACCUCAUUACGAUAAUGAAAAAUCACCAUUUAUAUACACAUUUCAAUUUUUAUUGAGUACCUUAUAUAUUAGGUACUUAUUCCUAAGUAAGUCUUUUACAUAAUAUUCUUGAAAGGUGGGUGUUAGCAACCUUCACUCCCCCUCAUCCCAUCCCCACAUGCCAUAUCAUAGAUGAGGAAACUGAGACUUAGAAAUGUAAGGAAAUUUACUCGGCUCACAGAGGAUGUUUACUAUAGUAGCUGGCACCGUGCCUGCAGCAAUAAACCCUUGGCAAUGAUUCGUCCUUAUCUGGAGAUUUCUUUUCUUUGCCCAUGUCGGCAAUAUUGCCUUCAAUUGCACUAUCAGAGAUAAAGUUCCCAGAUGUCUUGACUCUGUGUGCUGCUCAAGCUACUUUGGGCUUUAUUCCUGUUUUGCAAUGGGGGUGAGUGAUGGGAAGGUAGAAGGAGAACCUGGGAAGCAAUCUCCUUCAAGGUGCUGUGGGAGCUCCUAAAUCCUUGAAUACACCAGGAUAUAUCAAUACAAAAGACUUAUGUUUUUGCAGUGCUGGGGAUUGAACCCAGGGCUUCAAGGGCUAGGCAAGUGCUCAGCCACUAAACUAUGACUCCAAAAAGUAUUCAUAAAUAUGAUUAUGAUGUGGAUGACAUUUCUAAAAGUCAUUUCUACAUUCCUAAAUGAUAUUUCUAAUCUGCUAUAAGAAAAAAAUACCUGUUAAGAGGUGACUGGUGCUAGCAAAUGCAUAGUAUCCAAUAACAUGGGGUCAAAAAAGGUCCUGGAGACCUUGGUACAGAGACAGCACUAAUGAGCUAUGCAAAUUAGGGAAAUUCUUCCAUGGCUUGACAUCCCCAUCCUGGUCCUCUUUUAGAUUGCUUCGUCACCCAACAGUCACAAAUGUUUCCAUCUCUGCUUCUUACCUUCCUCUUUCCCCAUUCCAUGGCCCAGUGAAAUGAACUUUAUUCUGUUCCAAGUACAUGCCCCAGGCUUUUCUAUUUUUCUGCUGCUUUUGCUCAAAUUCUUUGCUCCAUCUGGAAUGCCCUUCUGUCUGUCUCUCCCUCUCUCUCUCUCAGCCAAAUUUCUCAGUAUGACUGAUCCUCAUGGCCUUGUGUAAAGUCCCUCUUCCCCAUGAAGACCUCCUUCCAGCUGGAAGUGUUUAUGGGACAUUCUUUCUUUUUAGUGGACUAUUCCUUAUUUCUCUUUAUAGAUAUAUGCUUUCUGAAGCCUUCAGAAAAGAAAAAUAAGUUCAUAAAGAGAAAUAAGUUCAUAUAUGUUUCAGCUUUUCUUUUGAGUCCAUAACACAGGAUUUCAUACGUAAGAGCCACCACUUCAUAUUUCAAUGAAUGAAUGAAUAUUCAGAUCUUGAAUGGAGGACUGAAUUGUGUAUGGUUUUAAGUCGAAGAUAUACCGGGACAGUUAUAUUUGUUCGCUUAUUAAGCAUAUACUAGGUUUGAGGACAUCUGCCAAGAUUUAUGACACAAUGUUUCUUAGAAUUUGUGGUCUCUAGCAAACAAAUAAGAUUUAACAUCUCCUCUUCAGGAGACACACAUAAGCCAAAGUUUAAAAAAAAAAAGGGAAGAAAAAACACAUUUUAAUGUGAUAGAUAAAGGAGGGAAGGUAUUUAUGAUAGAAAAUGCAAAUAGGAAAAAGAGAUCAAGGUCUGACAAAGAAGAGAGCAUUGGACUGGAUGUGACCCCAAAUUCAAAUGUUGAAAUCCUCACCUUCAAGGUGAUGGGUUAGGGGGUGAGGCCUUUGAGAGGUGAUUAGGUCAUGAGGAUGGAGCCCUGGUGAUCAGGAUUAGAGGCCAUAUAAAAGGGCCCAGAACACUUGCCAACCCCCUUCCUACCAUGUGGGGAUACAAUGAAAAGACAGCCAUCUGUAACUGAAGAAAUAUAUUUCUGUCUUUUACAAGCCACGCAUGCUAUAGUGCUUUUUGUUAAAGCAGCCUGGACUGACUAAGACAAAAAGGGAAGAUAUAAUGUAUGUUAGCUUUUUGUCACAGUAACCGCAAUAGUGGCCAAUAACAAUUUAAAGGAGUAAAAGUUUAUUUUGGGCUUGCGGUUUCAGACGUCUCAGGUCUGAGGUAAGGCAGACCAUCAUGGCUGAAGGGCGUGACAGUUCAUGGCAGCCAGAAAGCAGAGUGGGUGGGGGGAGACAGGGGAGAAGAUAAACUCUUCCAGGCACAUCCCUAGUGACCUACCUCUGCCUGCCUACAGUUACCAUCUCUUAAUACAUUCAAACUAUUAAUCCAUUGUGAGGAUGGCCUUAGGUGUGAGCCCUAAGCAACUCCAUUUUAAAAACUCUAGUUCGAAAUCUGUAGUCCAAUCAGGCACACCUCCAGUAUGGCCUCAGACAUAAACAAGUCACUUCCCCCACCCUGAGAAAGGAAAGCCUCUGGCAGGCUGUCCUGAUAAGAGGGAAAGUGAGAAGUUCAGGGUGGAGACCUCCAGACCAGAUGUUUCUGACCCCAGGGUAAAUGGUGGAGAAAUUCGGUGGUAGCUGGUAAGGAUUGAAAGAAGGUGAAAAGCCCCAAAUCUAGUAUAAAUAAUGGAGCUAAUGAACAGAGAUUCAGCCAGCCCAAACAAGGAUGCACUCAGCUGGAGGGCCUGAUGAGGACCUGGACUGACAUCCUAUCACUUGUCAUUGUUUUCCUGAUCCUCUGUGUGAUCCUCACCGCCCUCAAACUCUACUGCCUCUUCUGGACCCUGGUGAGAGCCGCAACUUCUCCAUAUGACCCUCUCCUCAAAAAGUCGUCCACUACACACCAGGAGAAGCCUGCCUUGGUUCCGGGUCUGAUCACCGUGGUCUGAGUGUGCAUCUGCUGGACAUGAAGCCUAAGGCUUGAGACUUUUGAACUUAGCACGCAGAGGGAAUGUCUGGCAUUAGCCUGACAUGAUUAAGUGUGUUUGCAGUGCUUAGAAUUAAUCUAGAAUUGUUUGCUGUGAAUUGAUCAUGUCUAUUGCAGUGCCUAGCAUUAAGGAUUGCCAUUUUCUUGAUUAAGAACCUAUAGAGUAAAAUUAUAUUGAGUGAUUUGAGUGAAUAAAGC